rnacentral:lncRNA from 1 species
UCGUCCAUGAUCUGCUGCUUCCUGACAGGGUCCAUAGCCAAUGUGUCAAAAGUGCUGGGGUGCUUAAACGGGACAGACUCCCACGGAUGCCCUCUCGAAUCCAAAGAUCCGCCUCGCGAGUUCGUGUACAGUAGCCUGUCUUGAUUCUUCCUUCGAAUCUCAUUGGCUUUCUCCAUUAUGUAAUCGAGAUACGAAUCGAGAACCAACGACUUGUCUUUCUUUUUAAUUCGCAGAGUGAAGCCACGCUUCUCCUCCGGCAAUGGUCGCCAAGAGAAGGUCUGAGACUGCCUCUGCGUCACCACGUGCUCCCAGAGGACCGUAACGCCAUUGAAGGUGUCA